AAAUGAAUAGACGGGGGCCCGCACAAGCAGUGGAUUAUGUGGUUUAAUUCGAAGCAACGCGAAGAACCUUACCAGGUCUUGACAUCGAGUGACGAACUCAGAGAUGAGUUUUUCCUUCGGGACACAAAGACAGGUGGUGCAUGGUUGUCGUCAGCUCGUGUCGUGAGAUGUUGGGUUAAGUCCCGCAACGAGCGCAACCCUUGUCAUUAGUUGCUACGCAAGAGCACUCUAAUGAGACCGCUACCGACAAGGUGGAGGAAGGUGGGGAUGACGUCAAAUCAUCAUGCCCCUUAUGACCUGGGCUACACACGUAAUACAAUGGCCGUCAACAGAGGGAAGCGAAACCGCGAGGCGGAGCAAAACCCUAAAAACGGUCUCAGUUCAGAUUGCAGGCUGCAACCCGCCUGCAUGAAGGUGGAAUUGCUAGUAAUCGCGGAUCAGCAUGCCGCGGUGAAUACGUUCCCGGGCCUUGUACACACCGCCCGU
rnacentral:rRNA from 1 species